AUAGCGUAUAUUAAAGUUGUUGCAGUUAAAAAGCUCGUAGUUGGAUUUCAAGAAAUGCAUCUGGGUAACCAGUUUGCUUUCUACCAGUCUUUGACUGUUACUGUGAGAAAAUUAGAGUGUUUCAAGCAGGCAAUUGCAGGAAUACAUUAGCAUGGAAUAACGAAUGUGUCUACAAUUUGGUUGAUUGUAGGUUACAAUUAAUAGGGACAGUUGGGGGCAUUAGUAUUUAAUUGUCAGAGGUGAAAUUCUUGGAUUUGUUAAAGACUAACGUAUG
rnacentral:rRNA from 1 species